GGUUAGCUCAGGUGGUUUAAGAGCGCAGGGCUGAGAACGCCAAGGUCAUGGGUUCGAUCCCCUGUAUGGACCU